rnacentral:snoRNA from 1 species
UUUUCUUUUCUUUAGUGCGGACAACCAGGACUAUCAUACCGUGUUGCUUAGUCCCGUGCCGCUUUUUCACGGUGGGACAAGCGUCAAGUCCUCGGUGAGAUCGAUUUGCGUCUUCGCCGACGUUGUACUCAUCUUAGUGCCCUUUUGUCCAGUGGAUGUCAUGACUACUCUUGCAGGUAGUUCGUGUGUGCUGGGCAAGGGCUGGUAGAGUAUACAAAU